GAUAACACGUCUUCGUAACUUCACUGAGAAGUUAAAAAUGUAUUGAGUUAAUUCUCUACUAGAAACAUGAAACUUAAUAUCCAUGCUGUAGUUACUUCAUAGUGCAUUACAUUGUUAAGAAAUGAUCAGAUCUACCUUGCACUUUACAUUUUUUCUCAUUGUCUUUUGGUAUAAAUUUCAACCAGCAAAUAGUGUUUGUGAUAAAAAAUGGUUCGGUAACAAUUGUCAGUACAAAUGUCAUUGCCAGAACACUGACUGUGACACCAAUGGAGACUGUGUCGCUCCUUCAACUUGUGAGAGAGGAUGGUUUGGUUAUAAAUGUCAAUACAGAGAUUUGACUAGUUAUAUCAAUACUACAGAAAAUAGAUGGCUAAUAGAUGGAAAUGACUCUACAUGUAAUGACAAUACAAGUAUGACGAGCAUAACUGUGACGUUUAAUUUAUCAAUUCCAUACACGUGGAUGAGACUUGUUUUUAAUAUAACAGGUAACCUU
rnacentral:sRNA from 1 species